AAGGAAAACCUUAGAUACGAAGAUAGAGACAGCAGAAGAUUGCUGGUCUGAAAAUACUGUGGUAAAGAACUGCAGUGAAGUUAUUUGAGGAGCACAGAAAUAUAUAUCUUUCCAGACUGAAGAACCAGCAUAUGUUAUCCACAAGCCUUCAAAACAGCAAAGUAGGCCAGUAUCCUGGGCCCCUCUGAAGUCAUUGCAUGCCCGUCCAUUCUACAAGUCCCAUCUGCCCUUGAGACAAGCAAAGUCAGGGUCUUUCUAGAUCCUGUUUUCAAGGAAGGGGUCAUGAUCAGCAUCUGCAGAAAGUCAGCCCUACUGGAAAUCUUCAAAGACUCAGAGUUGUCCCAGAGUCAUCUGCACAGAUAUUGAAAAAACAUGUAAGCCUGCUUUAUGGAGGUAUCUGUUCAUAAUAUUUUGCUGUAAGUAGAGACUUUCACCUUUCAUCUAUUAGCUGGAUGACACUGUGAACUAGUUGUAUCUCAGUGCACCCAAGACCAGGGUCCUGGAAUAUUAGAGCAGAAUAAAAGACAUGUGCUAUCUUCCA
rnacentral:lncRNA from 1 species